rfam:Gossypium hirsutum cultivar TM-1 chromosome 19, whole genome shotgun sequence
AGUUAAAAUCUUCAUUCAUUUGUACUAUUAAAAACUGACGUAGCUGAUGGAAUAAUCAAACAAUAACAUGUAGCGUGCCAUGUGUACCUCAUGCUAACAUAUAAGGACCAAAUUUUAACAACAGAAUUGGAUGAAAUUUUUAAUA